rnacentral:rRNA from 1 species
UGGGGGAAUAUUGGGCAAUGGGCGCAAGCCUGACCCAGCAACGCCGCGUGAAGGAUGAAGGUUUUCGGAUUGUAAACUUCUUUUAAGAGGGACGAUAAUGACGGUACCUCUUGAAUAAGCCCCGGCUAACUACGUGCCAGCAGCCGCGGUAAUACGGAGGAUGCGAGCGUUAUCCGGAUUUAUUGGGUUUAAAGGGUGCGCAGGCGGCGUGCCAAGUCAGCGGUCAAAGUUCCGGGCUCAACCCGGUGAUGCCGUUGAAACUGGUGUGCUUGAGUGCGUGCGAGGGAGGCGGAAUGCGUUGUGUAGCGGUGAAAUGCAUAGAUAUGACGCAGAACUCCGAUUGCGAAGGCAGCUUUCCAGCACGCCACUGACGCUGAGGCACGAAAGCGUGGGGAUCGAACAGGAUUAGAUACCCUGGUAGU